UACGUAGGGUGCAAGCGUUGUCCGGAAUUAUUGGGCGUAAAGAGCUCGUAGGCGGCUUGUCGCGUCGGAUGUGAAAGCCCGGGGCUUAACUCCGGGUCUGCAUUCGAUACGGGCAGGCUAGAGUUCGGUAGGGGAGAUCGGAAUUCCUGGUGUAGCGGUGAAAUGCGCAGAUAUCAGGAGGAACACCGGUGGCGAAGGCGGAUCUCUGGGCCGAUACUGACGCUGAGGAGCGAAAGCAUGGGGAGCGAACAGG
rnacentral:rRNA from 1 species